UUGGAGGGCAAGUCUGGUGCCAGCAGCCGCGGUAAUUCCAGCUCCAAUAGCGUAUAUUAAAGUUGUUGCAGUUAAAAAGCUCGUAGUUGAAUUUCGGGAUCAGACUGUCGGUCGUGCCUCGGUACGCACUGGUAUUAUUGGUUCCUACCUUCUGAAGAACCGCGAUGUCAUUAAUUUGGUGUCGUGGGGAAUCAGGACUGUUACUUUGAAAAAAUUAGAGUGUUUAAAGCAGGCUUACGCUUGAAUACAUUAGCAUGGAAUAAUGAAAUAGGACGUUUGAUUCUAUUUUGUUGGUUUCUAGGAUUGACGUAAUGAUUAAUAGGGAUAGUUGGGGGCAUUAGUAUUCAAUUGUCAGAGGUGAAAUUCUUGGAUUUAUUGAAGACUAACUACUGCGAAAGCAUUUGCCAAGGAUGUUUUCAUUAAUCAAGAACGAAAGUUAGGGGAUCGAAGACGAUCAGAUACCGUCGUAGUCUUAACCAUAAACUAUGCCGACUAGGGAUCGGAUGAUGUUAAUUUUUUAAUGACUCAUUCGGCGCCUUACGGGAAAC
rnacentral:rRNA from 1 species